rnacentral:rRNA from 1 species
UUGAACGCUGGCGGCAUGCUUUACACAUGCAAGUCGAACGGCAGCACGGGGGCAACCCUGGUGGCGAGUGGCGAACGGGUGAGUAACGCAUCGGAACGUGCCCAGUAGUGGGGGAUAACACAUCGAAAGAUGUGCUAAUACCGCAUACGCACUACGGUGGAAAGCGGGGGAUCGCAAGACCUCGCGCUAUUGGAGCGGCCGAUGUCCGAUUAGCUAGUUGGUGGGGUAAUGGCCUACCAAGGCUACGAUCGGUAGCUGGUCUGAGAGGAUGAUCAGCCACACUGGGACUGGGACACGGCCCAGACUCCUACGGGAGGCAGCAGUGGGGAAUUUUGGACAAUGGGCGCAAGCCUGAUCCAGCCAUGCCGCGUGAGUGAAGAAGGCCUUCGGGUUGUAAAGCUCUUUCGGCCGGAACGAAAUCGUCCGGGCUAAUACCCCGGAUGGAUGACGGUACCGGAAGAAGAAGCACCGGCUAACUACGU